AUGAAUUUAAACUUAAUACAACCAAAUGUAGCUGCAUUCGCUCCUUUCCAUUAACUUCUUUAGAAUGAUUUAUUAACAACAGAUGAUUAAGUAAUAGAAGAAAAGAACCAAUUGGAUGAUGCUGACGAAUUUGGGUUAAACGUCCAGUGACAAAUAUCAUGUGCAUAUGAGAACGACAACACGUUAUAUGUGCCCUGUGUUGUAUUAGAAAGACACGUUCAGUCGGAUUUGAGAACAUGCUACUUUUUGCAGACACAAAAAUUAAGGCUGAUUGAAAUCGUUAAUAAUAAAUUCAUGCAUAUUCCAGCGGCC
rnacentral:lncRNA from 1 species